AGGGGCGUAGCUCUAAUUGGCAGAGCGGUGGUCUCCAAAACCACAGGUUGCAGGUUCGACCCCUGCCGCCCCUG
rnacentral:tRNA from 1 species